GGAGGUGGGACAAUGAGCAGGGAGCGGCGAGGAGGUGACGCCCAUGUCAACCACAGGUGCGGAGGCCACCAGCGACAGCGAGCGGCGUCGGUCCACUGGAUUCAGAUUGUGAAAAAAGAAGCCUGCCAUUAAAACUGUUCUGUCCAUGAGUAUGCCAUCCUGAAGAUGUCUGAUGCAGGCAACAACUUCAUGCUUUCUUGCUCUGGUUGGUGGGUCGGAUGAGCUUGCAAUAUCUCUGAGUUGUGCGCAAGAAGACCUUUUGUGUAGGUUCAUUAUUGAGGGACAUGCCCGACGAGGAAAUUUCGACGUGAUGAAAGGAAUACUCACUGCUAUAAUGUGUUGUUAAUUCUAUGUUCUUUUGCAUAUAUUGCCCUUAGGUA